rnacentral:rRNA from 1 species
GAGCUAAUACCGGAUAAUAUAUUGAACCGCAUGGUUCGAUAGUGAAAGACGGUUUUGCUGUCACUUAUAGAUGGAUCCGCGCCGCAUUAGCUAGUUGGUAAGGUAACGGCUUACCAAGGCAACGAUGCGUAGCCGACCUGAGAGGGUGAUCGGCCACACUGGAACUGAGACACGGUCCAG